ACUCCUACGGGAGGCAGCAGUGGGGAAUAUUGCACAAUGGGGGAAACCCUGAUGCAGCCAUGCCGCGUGUGUGAAGAAGGCCUUCGGGUUGUAAAGCACUUUCAGUAGGGAGGAAGGUAGUGUAGUUAACACCUGCACUAUUUGACGUUACCUACAGAAGAAGCACCGGCUAACUCCGUGCCAGCAGCCGCGGUAAGUACGGAGGGUGCGAGCGUUAAUCGGAAUUACUGGGCGUAAAGCGCAUGCAGGCGGCCUGUUAAGUCAGAUGUGAAAGCCCGGGGCUUAACCGUCGGAAUUGCAUUUGAAACUGGCGAGGCUAGAGUCUUGUAGAGGGGUUAGAAUUUCGAGUGUAGCGGUGAAAUGCGUAGAGAUCUGAAGGAAUACCGAGUGGCGAAGGCGGCCCCGUGGACAAAGACUGACGCUCAGAUGCGAAAGCGUGGGAGCAAACAGGAUUAGAUACCCCGUGGUAGCGACUGA
rnacentral:rRNA from 1 species